GACGAACGCUGGCGGCGUGCCUAAUACAUGCAAGUCGAACGCACUCUCGUUUAGAUUGAAGGAGUUUGCUCCUGAUUGAUAAACAUUUGAGUGAGUGGCGGACGGGUGAGUAACACGUGGGUAACCUGCCCUAAAGUGGGGGAUAACAUUUGGAAACAGAUGCUAAUACCGCAUAAAACCUAACACCGCAUGGUGUAGGGUUGAAAGAUGGUUUCGGCUAUCACUUUAGGAUGGACCCGCGGUGCAUGAGUUAGUUGGUGGGGUAAAGGCUCACCAAGACCGUGAUGCAUAGCCGACCUGAGAGGGUAAUCGGCCACACUGGGACUGGGACACGGCCCAGACUCCUACGGGAGGCAGCAGUAGGGAAUCUUCCACAAUGGACGAAAGUCUGAUGGAGCAACGCCGCGUGAGUGAAGAAGGUGUUCGGAUCGUAAAACUCUGUUGUUGGAGAAGAAUGUAUCUGAUAGUAACUGAUCAGGUAGUGACGGUAUCCAACCAGAAAGCCACGGCUAACUACGUG
rnacentral:rRNA from 1 species